rnacentral:lncRNA from 1 species
AAACCAGAAAGUAACGGUUCCCGUCAGCUUGGGGAAGUGAAUCCUUCUGUGACUUCACCAACACUUACCCUAAAGAGGCCUAUAAAAAGCUCCUUUGGACUUCCCCCGCCUCCUAAGAAGGAGUAAAUAUCUCCUUGGCCUUGACCAAAUAGAGUUGGUAUUUAGCAGCUGCUUGAGCUGAUGCUUCUGAGGCAAAUGAGUCUCUUAACAUCUAACUGAGUUGGUCAGCUCUCUGUAAGAGGCCUGAAAGUCAGAAGGCAACUUGCUGUGUGUCUCUGGCAAGUAACUUUCCUUCUCUGGGCUGCAGUUCCUUCAUCUGUUCAGAUGGAGUUGGACUACAGGGUAGGUCAAGCCUUGCUGCCUCUGCACCUCCACAGUUCUAAAAUAUAAUCUGCAUUUUUUUUUUUUUUUGAGACGGAGCCUCGCUCUGUUGCCCAGGCUGGAGUGCAGUGGCGCAAUCUCGGCUCACUGCAAGCUCUGCCUCCCGGGCUCAAGCCAUUCUGCCUCAGCCUCCCGAGUAGCUGCGACUACGGGCACCUGCCACCACGCCCAGCUAAUUUUUUGUAUUUUUAGUAGAGACGGGGUUUCACCGUGUUAGCCAUGAUGGUCUCGAUCUCUUGACCUCGUGAUCCACCUGCCUCAGCCUCCCAAAGUGCUGGGAUUACAGGCGUGAGCCACUGUGCCCGGCCUUUUUUUUUUUUUUUUUUUUUUUUAAUGGAGAUGGAGUCUCACUAUGUUGUCCAGGCUGGUCUCGAGCUCCUGGCCUUAAGCAAUCACCUCGCUUCAGCCUCCCAAAGUGCUGGGAUCAAGGGUUUGAGCCACCAUAUGCCUGGACUUAAAAAAAACAACAACUCAUCAAAUAUUGAGGGCCUGUUUUGGCCAGACACUGUUUUAGAUGUUGGAGAUUCAGCAGUGAAUCAAUCAGAAUUCUUGCCCUCUUGGAUCAGGCUUUCUUUCACUCAGCAAUAUGCAGCUAAGGUUUUUCCACAAUUUCUCCUGGCCUGAUAGUGUGUUUCUUUUUGGUGUGGAAUAACAUUUCAUUGUGCGGUUCCAGCACACAGUUUGCU